rnacentral:lncRNA from 1 species
GCUCUUCUCUCCUGCUAAGCUUUGUUUCCUGACAGUAAUUAAAACCUUCUACCCGCUUCCAUAGCUACUGCUGCUCCUGGAACCGCAUAGCCACCUGGUUACGUGGUUUGGCAAAGUAUUGGCCUCCGUCACCAUAGGGGCCAGGGCUUCUGCCUCCAAAAUUUCCUCCUCUCAUGGGUCCAGAAUUUGAAGAGUGAUUGCUAUAAUCAUCAAAGUCAUUAUUAGCUUCCACCACCUCCAAAGUUGCUUCCAUCGUUACCAAAUCGAUCGAUCAUAGCUGUCCGUGUUGUUGCCAUAUCCACCACCAACUCAACUGCUACCAAAGCCACCUUGCCCACUGAAAUUUCCUCCAUGACCAAGGUUGUCAUUCCCACCAAAACCACCUCCAUGACCACCACCAAAGUUUCCAGAACCACUCUGACCUCUUUGGCUGGAUGGAGCACUAGCCAUCUGUUGCUUAGAUAGGGCUUUCCUUACGUCAUAGUUGUGGCCAUUUACAAUCUGGUAUUUUAGGGUGUUGUUGUUGUUGUUGUUGUUUUUAAUUUUAUUUAAAUCCAAGUUAGUUAACAUAUAGUGUAAUAAUAGUUUCAGGAGUAGAAUUUAGUGAUUCAUCACUUACAUAUAAUACCCAGUGCUCAUCCCAACAAGUACCCUCCUUAAUGCCCAUCACCCAUACAGCCCAUCCUGCCACCCAACACCCCCUUUAGUAACCUUUAGUUGAUUCUCUGUAUUUGAGUCUCUUAUGGUUUGCCUCCUUCUGUUUUUAUCUUAUUUUUCCUUCGCUUCUCCUGUGUUCAUCUGUUUUGUUUAUUAAAUACCACAUAUGAAUGAGAUCAUAUGAUAUUUAUCUUCUCUGUCUUAUUUCACUUAGCAUAAUACACUCUAGUUCCAUCCAUGUUGUCGCAAAUGGCUAGAUUUCAUUCUUUUUGAUCACUGAGUAAUAUUUCAUUGUGUAAAUGUAAACCACAUCUUCUUUAUCCAUUCAUCAGUUGAUGGGCAUUUGGGUUCUUCCCAUAAUAUGGCUAUUGUGGACAAUGCUGUUAUAAACAGUAGGGUGCAUGUGCCCCUUCAAAUCAGCAUUUGUAUCCUUUGGAUAAAUACCUAGUAGUGCAAUUGCUGGAUCAUAAGGUAGCUCUAUUUUUAAUUUUUUGAGGAACCUCCAUACUGUUUUCCAGAGUGGCUACACCAGUUUGCAUUCCCACCAGCAGUGCAAAAGUGUUCCCCUUUCUCUCCAUCCUCACCAACAUCUGUUGUUUCCUGAGUUGUUACUUUUAGCCAUUCUGACAGUUGUGAGGUGGUAUCUUUUUGUGGUUUUGAUUUGGAUUUUCCUGAGGAUGAGUGAUGCUGAGCAUCUUUUCAUGUGUCUGUUAGCCAUCUGGAUGUCUUCUUUGGAAAAGUGUCUGUUUGUGUCUUUUACCCAUUUCUCUACUGCAUUAUUUGUUUGUUGAGUGUUGAGUUUGCUAAUUUCUUUAUAGAUUUUACAUAGUAACCCUUUAUCCAGUAUGUCAUUUGCAAAUAUAUUUUCCUAUUCUGCAGAUUGCACUUAGUUUUGUCGAUUGUUUCCUUCUCCGUACAGAAGCUUUUUUCUUCACAAGGUCAACAUUGGUUCAUUUUUACUUUUAUUUCCCUUGCCUCUGGAGACAUGUCUGGUAAGUUGCUGUGGCCAAGGUCAAAGAGGUUGUUGCCUGUGUUCUCCUCUAGGAGUUUGAUAGUUUGCUGUCUCACAUUUAGCUCUUGCAUCCAUUUUGAGUUUAUUUUUGUGUAUGGUGUGAGAAAGUGGUCCAGGUUCAUUCUUCCACGUGUCGCCAGCCUGUUUUCCCAGCAUCAUUUGCUGAAAAGACUGUGUUCUUUCCAUUGGAUGCUCUUUCUUCCUUUAAGACUGGUUGGCCAUACAUUUGUGGGUCUAUUUCUGGGUUCUCUCUUCUGUUCCGCUGAUGUUUGUGUCUGUUUUUGUGCUAGUACCAUACUGUCUUGUUGAUUACAGCUUUGUAACACAGCUUGAAGUCUGGAAUUGUGAUGCCUCCAGCUUUGGUUUUCUUUUUCAGGAUUGCUUUGGCUAUUCGGGGUCUUUUCUGGUCCCAAACAAAAUUUAAAACUAUUGGUUCUAGCUCUGUAAAGAAUGCUGGUGUUAUUUUGAUAGAGAUUAUACUGAAUGUGUAGAUUGCUUUGGGCAGUAUUGACAUUUUAGCAAUGUUUUUUCUUCCAGUCCACGAGCAUGGACUGUUUUUCCAUUUCUGUGUGUCUCCUUCACUUUCUUUCAUAAGCUUUCUAUAGUUUUCAGCAUACAGAUCUUUUAUUUCUUUAGUUAGCUUUGUUCCUUAUGUAUUUUAUGGUUUUUUGUGCAAUUGUAGAUGGGGUUGAUUCCUUGAUUUCUCUUUCUGCUGUUUCAUUAUUGGUGUAUAGAAAUGCAAUCAAUUUCUUUAUGUUGAUUUUAUAUCCUGCGACUUUGCUGAAUUCAUCUAUCAGUUCUGUCAGUUUUUUUGGUGGAGCCUUUCAGGAUAAUCUGGUAUUUCUGAAUGGCUUCUUGUGUACAGUCAUGGUCAUCAAAUGUUACAAAAGCAAAACCUCUCUUCUUGCCACUGCCUCAGUCCUAAUUUCAACCACUUCAAUUUCCCCAUACUGUUCAAAAUAAUCUCUCAGAUGAUGUUCUUCGGUGUCUUCUUUAAUGCCACCAACAGAAAUAUUUUUCAGUUAAGUGGGCAAACAGGCCUUUGAGAAUCCUUACCUGAGGCAGCCCUCUUUGGUUCCACACCUCUCCCAUCCACCUUGUGUGGCCUUGCAUUCAUGGCUGCAUCCACCUCUUCCACAGUGGCUUACGGGACCAACCCAGAUCUCAUUACCACACAGUCCGUGAGCGUUCCCCAUUGCUCAGAACGGCCCCUCAGACUCUCAUCAGUUGUUUCAAAGCUC